rnacentral:rRNA from 1 species
CAGCAGCCGCGGUAAUACGGAGGGUGCAAGCGUUAAUCGGAAUUACUGGGCGUAAAGCGCACGCAGGCGGUCUGUCAAGUCGGAUGUGAAAUCCCCGGGCUCAACCUGGGAACUGCAUUCGAAACUGGCAGGCUAGAGUCUUGUAGAGGGGGGUAGAAUUCCAGGUGUAGCGGUGAAAUGCGUAGAGGUCUGGAGGAAUACCGGUGGCGAAGGCGGCCCCCUGGACAAAGACUGACGCUCAGGUGCGAAAGCGUGGGGAGCAAACAGGAUUAGAUACCCCUGUAGUCCCUGUCUCUUAUAC